GAUGAACGCUAGCUACAUGCUUAACACAUGCAAGUCGCAGGGUAACAUGAGGUAUGCUUGCUUUCCUUGAUGACGACUGGCGCACGGGGGAGGAACGAGUAGCCAACGUUCCCCUAACUACGUGAUAACCCGCUUAAAGACCGCCGAAUACUGUAUGAUAGCGUUUGCUGACAGCGAAUGAGGAGGAAAGCGUUAGCGGUGAGGGAGGGGGCUAGGUCUGUAUAGCUUGUUGGGGGGGUGAAGGCCCACCAAGGCGACGAUCAGGAGGGGAUCUGAGAGGGAGGUCCCCCACAAUGGAACUGAGAAAACGUCCAAGCUCCUACCGGAGGCAGCAGUGAGGAAUAUUGGUAAAUGGGCGAGAGCCUGAACCAGCCAAGUAGCGUGCAGGAAGGCGGCCCUAUGGGUUGUAAACUGCUUUUAUGCGGGGGUAAGGUGCGUGACGUGUAAUGCAUUGACGGUACCAGAUGAAUAAGGACCGGCUAAUUACGUG
rnacentral:rRNA from 1 species